rnacentral:rRNA from 1 species
AAAAUUGGCUAAGUGGGAAACGAAGUGGGAAGGCUAAAACAGUCAGGAUGUUGGCUUAGAAGCAGCCAUCAUUUAAAGAAAGCGUAAUAGCUCACUGAUCGAGUCGUCCUGCGCGGAAGAUGUAACGGGGCUAAGCCAGUUACCGAAGCUGCGGAUGCACAGUUUACUGUGCGUGGUAGGAGAGCGUUCUGUAAGCCUGUGAAGGUGUCUGGUAACGGAUGCUGGAGGUAUCAGAAGUGCGAAUGCUGACAUGAGUAGCGUUAAAGGGGGUGAAAAGCCCCCUCGCCGUAAGCGCAAGGUUUUCUACGCAACGUUCAUCGGCGUAGAGUGAGUCGGCCCCUAAGGCGAGGCAGAGAUGCGUAGUUGAUGGGAAACAGGUCAAUAUUCCUGUACCGAUGUGUAGUGCGAUU